ACUUUGUUCUGCGCUUCAAAGGCGGAGUGCGGGGCUGUGAGAGAAAGCAAGAGGGUCAGGCUCUCGCCCGGCGACGGGCGGCUGAGGCCUUCGUAUUCUUGGAACUUUUAAAAUAUAAAACAAACUUAUCUUCCCCGUCUGAAGAAGGGGAGCAUGUUUCUGACUACUCUGGGGCGCGCUGCUUCCCCCCAAACGCGAAUGGUGCGCUCCAAGCGGGAGGGGGAGAAGCAGAUUAGUUGUUUAGGGUAAAUUGGGCCAGUCCCAGAUCGGCGGCGCAUGCGCCCGCAGACCCCGUAACCGAGGACGAGGAGGGGCCUUGGGGAGCGCUGCCAAACGCGGAAGUGGAUCUCUGGCUUCCCCGGGACAUCCGAGUCAAUGUCCCCAGAGCUGCCGCUCUAGCUUCUGGGCGAUGCCGGGGAGCCUUUCUCCCCAAACUGCCUACUCCCCGGGAAUCUCUCUCUCUUCCUGGUCCCCCCAAAUACCAAGCAACUCUUCCAGUUCCACCCGGUGAACUGGUCUCUUGAUAGGAACUUCUGGGAAAUGCCCCUCCCCCAGCCCCUUGUCUUGGUCAAUUCCUUGUUUCUUCUCCCCACCACUGGUGUGGGGGAGUUCCUUGUCUUCCCACUCACAACCACAGAGCUACAAGUCCAUUCCCUAUGCCCAGGCUAGGAGAGCCGCACUUCUUCCUACAGCUGACAGGUUUGGUUUUUGGAGGGGAAAGGGGAACUGUUUCGGAAUCAGUAAUGGAAAUUGCCAGCCGUGAACAGAGAAACCGAUUAUUGAUGACUAAGUUCAGCGCGGAUGCAACAUUCUCCAGACCUCUUGAAGGGAUGACCCAUCGCUGAGGCCCUUGUGAGCGAACUCUAAAUUCCUGCUACUUCCAAGAAGAUUUCCUGGCUCUUAGGAGUAACUGCCAUAUACCUUACUGGGCUAACGGGCAUAGGAGAGCUUCAUAGAGAGUAUUACCUAGAUUAAUUUGAUUACCAAAUGUUGCUAUCUUACUUUAUAUACCAAAUCACAUUUC